rnacentral:rRNA from 1 species
AGUAAAAGUCGUAACAAGGUUUCCGUAGGUGAACCUGCGGAAGGAUCAUUACCGAGUGAGGGCCCUCUGGGUCCAACCUCCCACCCGUGUUUAUUUUACCUUGUUGCUUCGGCGGGCCCGCCUUUACUGGCCGCCGGGGGGCUCACGCCCCCGGGCCCGCGCCCGCCGAAGACACCCUCGAACUCUGUCUGAAGAUUGAAGUCUGAGUGAAAAUAUAAAUUAUUUAAAACUUUCAACAACGGAUCUCUUGGUUCCGGCAUCGAUGAAGAACGCAGCGAAAUGCGAUACGUAAUGUGAAUUGCAAAUUCAGUGAAUCAUCGAGUCUUUGAACGCACAUUGCGCCCCCUGGUAUUCCGGGGGGCAUGCCUGUCCGAGCGUCAUUGCUGCCCUCAAGCCCGGCUUGUGUGUUGGGCCCCGUCCUCCGAUUCCGGGGGACGGGCCCGAAAGGCAGCGGCGGCACCGCGUCCGGUCCUCGAGCGUAUGGGGCUUUGUCACCCGCUCUGUAGGCCCGGCCGGCGCUUGCCGAUCAACCCAAAUUUUUAUCCAGGUUGACCUCGGAUCAGGUAGGGAUACCCGCUGAACUUAAGCAUAUCAAUAAGCGGAGGAAAAGAAACCAACAGGGAUUGCCCCAGUAACG